GCAUGCGCGAAACUGACGUCACUUCCUGUUAUCGCCGACGUUUUACGACAGUCUUCUCGACCUGGGACCAGCUCGGAAUCUGGCAGGGGUGCAUUUCUCGGCAUUACACCUGUUCCGGGCGUCUUCGAAUUUUAUCAUCAAAGGCGACAGACUCUUCUACACCGGCCCAAUUAAACAGUACAUGCGGCUAGUUGUCCUGUCCGAGGAAGACAACCUGAUGGUUUUGGAGAUAAGACUUACAGAACCAUAUUUAGGUUUAGACUUAAGAUAAUUUACUGGCCUUGUUCCAGGCAUGUUAUUUGGUUACAGUUUCCAAAAGGAGCCUCGUUCUCAGGCUUCAAGUUUGUAUAGAGCCUCGUUCACAGGCUUCAAGUUCAUCAAAGAGCCUAGUUCUCAGGCUGCACACCUGAUAAUUUAAUUGCACGUUAUGUAAUUUUGUGUUCUCUUUGGAAUCCCAGACACAUUGCAAGCUUCAUUGACCCAGGAUCCUGGACUGAAAAAACAGGAAGAGACCUUGAGUUUUUUCCUCAACAGUCCAGUGGGGAUUCUUGUGGUGUCUACAUGCUGAUGUAUGCUCUCAGCAUCUGCACAUCAUGUCCCUUAACAUUCACAGAGGUAAGCUGGAUUUUCACACAAGUAUGUCAUUGAACUACUGGUAUGUGUGCAUUUUUUUUGUGUGUUUGUGUGUUUUAGGAGGAGGUGCCAUUGAUUCGCCAGUGGUGGUGCAUUAACCUCAUGGAAAGAUUUUGCCUAGAAGGGCAUGGACAGAGGUUUGCAUACUGGACCGAAGAAGCAUCCCAACUCCUUCAGGGGAUCGUUGAGCCUGUGUUUAGGGUGUCGAAAUUCACCACCACCAAACUGUCACCCAGCAGAAGAGUUGUGGAUGACAAGGACAUUGAUAAGGUUAAUGAUUAUACA